rnacentral:rRNA from 1 species
AUGUCGUGGUCGUCCAGUGCCGGGUCCGCUCCCAGAUUUCGUCGAGCUGCAGGAAGGAGGAGGGAGGAGUCGCGCUCGCCGGUGCGCUACCGCAAGAACCCAAUGGCAUACGAGCCUUCGGUGAUGUGCCACUGCUCAACUCCGAGGAAGGCGCCAAGAUGGAUCUCCUGGAGCAGGCAGAACCCUGGUAGGAGGUACUACAGCUGCGUGGAUGCUAUGGUGAGUGCUGUUUUUUUCCCUAAUUUUCUUCCUCUUUCUUCUGUGCAAUAA